GCGGCACAGGAAAAGAUGAUCCAGCAGGAGCAUGAGCGGCAGGUGAAGUGGGGAAGGGAGGGCUGGGGUGGCGGGUGGGUGCUGGCCUGGCCACGUUCUUAUAGCCCUGUCUGCUGCAGGAGCGGGAAGACGAGCUUCGAGCCAUGGCCCGCAAGAUCCGGAUGAA
rnacentral:sRNA from 1 species